rnacentral:rRNA from 1 species
AUUGAACGCUGGCGGCAGGCCUAACACAUGCAAGUCGAGCGGAUGAAGGGAGCUUGCUCCUGGAUUCAGCGGCGGACGGGUGAGUAAUGCCUAGGAAUCUGCCUCGUAGUGGGGGAUAACGUCCGGAAACGGGCGCUAAUACCGCAUACGUCCUGAGGGAGAAAGUGGGGGAUCUUCGGACCUCACGCUAUCAGAUGAGCCUAGGUCGGAUUAGCUAGUUGGUGGGGUAAAGGCCUACCAAGGCGACGAUCCGUAACUGGUCUGAGAGGAUGAUCAGUCACACUGGAACUGAGACACGGUCCAGACUCCUACGGGAGGCAGCAGUGGGGAAUAUUGGACAAUGGGCGAAAGCCUGAUCCAGCCAUGCCGCGUGUGUGAAGAAGGUCUUCGGAUUGUAAAGCACUUUAAGUUGGGAGGAGGGGCAGUAAGUUAAUACCUUGCUGUUUUGACGUUACCAACAGAAUAAGCACCGGCUAACUUCGUG